GGCGGAUCUCGUCGAGGCUGUUGCGGGUGGUCUCCUGGACCUCGACGAGCUCCGCGCGUACGCCCGGCGGUGCCUGGUCACCGACCCGCUU
rnacentral:tRNA from 1 species